CCUACGGGAGGCUGCAGUGGGGAAUAUUGCACAAUGGGCGCAAGCCUGAUGCAGCCAUGCCGCGUGUGUGAAGAAGGCCUUCGGGUUGUAAAGCACUUUCAGCGGGGAGGAAGGCGUUAAGGUUAAUAACCUUGUCGAUUGACGUUACCCGCAGAAGAAGCACCGGCUAACUCCGUGCCAGCAGCCGCGGUAAUACGGGGGGUGCAAGCGUUAAUCGGAAUUACUGGGCGUAAAGCGCACGCAGGCGGUCUGUCAAGUCGGAUGUGAAAUCCCCGGGCUCAACCUGGGAACUGCAUUCGAAACUGGCAGGCUAGAGUCUUGUAGAGGGGGGUAGAAUUCCAGGUGUAGCGGUGAAAUGCGUAGAGAUCUGGAGGAAUACCGGUGGCGAAGGCGGCCCCCUGGACAAAGACUGACGCUCAGGUGCGGAAGCGUGGGGAGCAAACAGGAUUAGAUACCCCAGUAGUC
rnacentral:rRNA from 1 species